UACGUAGGGGGCGAGCGUUGUCCGGAGUUACUGGGCGUAAAGCGCACGCAGGCGGUUUCGUACGUCUGGAGUGACAGUUCCCGGCUCAACUGGGAAAGGUCUUCGGAAACGGCGAGACUUGAGGGCUUCAGAGGGACACGGAAUUCCGGGUGGAGUGGUGAAAUGCGUAGAGAUCCGGAGGAACACCAAUGGCGAAGGCAGUGUCCUGGGAAGCAUCUGACGCUCAGGUGCGAAAGCUAGGGGGGCGAACAGG
rnacentral:rRNA from 1 species